rnacentral:rRNA from 1 species
UACGUAGGGGGCAAGCGUUGUCCGGAAUCAUUGGGCGUAAAGAGCGUGUAGGCGGCCCGGUAAGUCCGUUGUGAAAGUCGAGGGCUCAACCCUCGAAUGCCGGCGGAUACUGCCGGGCUAGAGUCCGGAAGAGGCGAGUGGAAUUCCUGGUGUAGCGGUGAAAUGCGCAGAUAUCAGGAGGAACACCAAUGGCGAAGGCAGCUCGCUGGGACGGAACUGACGCUGAGACGCGAAAGCGUGGGGAGCAAACAGG